rnacentral:rRNA from 1 species
UUUUUUAUAAAAAUAAUUUAUUUAUUUAAUGUUUUAGUAUUUAGUAAAAAUUAAUUUUUAGAUUUAUAGUUUAAUAGUAUUGUAAAAGAAUUAAUUAAAUUUGAAAAAGAAUAUUUUUAGUACCUUUUGUAUCAGGGUUGAUUAAAAUUUUUAAUUUUUUUUUAAUUUCUCAAAAUUUAUAGAGUUAAUUUUAUUAUUAAUUUAUUGUGUUAUAAAUAUUUAUAAAAUAAUAUUAGUUUUGAAAUUUAAUUCGUUAUAUUAUAUUUAGUUAUUUAAGAUUUAAAUUUAAUUUAUAAUUUUAAAAGUUAUAUUGAUUUUAUAUAUAAAUAUUUUAAAUUUGAAUUAUUUUAGGGAUAAUCUUGAAAUUUUUAUAUAAUAAUUUAUUUAUUUUAAUAAUUUAUAGGAAUAGAAAUUUUUAUUUUAAGUUUGUAAAAAUUUAUUAUUUAUUUAUUUUUAAUUUAUUAUAAAUUUAUUUAUUUUUUUUAUUAAAUUUUAUUAAUUAAUAUUUAAUUUUUAGUAAUAAUGAUUAAAUUAGUAUAAUUUAAAUUUAUAAAUUAUGAAUUCGGCAAAAAUUAUUUUCAUCUGUUUAACAAAAACAUUGUAUUAAGUUUUAUUUAAUAUAGGAUCUGCUCAAUGAUUUAUUAAAUAGCUGCAGUAUUUUGACUGUGCAAAGGUAGCAUAAUAAUUAGUCUUUUAAUUGAGGACUUGUAUGAAAGAUUUGAUGAGAAAUAAACUUUAUUAUUUAUAAAAUUAAAAUUUUAUUUUUAAGUAAAAAAGCUUAAAUUAUUUAAAGGGACGAUAAGACCCUAUAAAACUUUAUAAAUAUUAAUUUUAAUUUUUUUGGAUUAAUAAAUAUUUUAUUUUUAUUAUUUAUUUUAUUGGGGUGAUAAAAAAAUUUAUUAAACUUUUUUUAAAAUUUUACAUUAUUUAAUGAAUAUUUGAAUUAAAAUUUUUAAUUAAAGGAAAAAGUUACUUUAGGGAUAACAGCGUAAUUAGUUUUUUAAGUUCAAAUUUAAAAAUUAGUUUGCGACCUCGAUGUUGAAUUAAGAUUAAUCUUAGGUCCACAAUUUUAAGUAUUAGGUCUGUUCGACC